AAAGUCCUGAUGUGUUCGUCUUAACACCUUUACGUUUUGACCUACAAUCUUUACCUUCGGGAGUUUGGAGUUUCUAGUCUGAAUAGCAAGCCUCCCCGAGAGGACGCGUGAAGUCUGGAGCAGAACACCCACCUGCUAAGUGCGGGUAUCAAAACAUAGGAUUUACUGGGACGGCACGAUUGGGACUUUU
rnacentral:other from 1 species